GAUAUUAGAAAGUACUACCCAAAUUUGAAGGAUGGUUCUCUUCAGCCCGAAUAUGCAGGAAUUCGACCAAAACUUUCAGGUCCUGGACAGCCACCCGUCGAUUUUGUAGUACAGGGGGCGGAUACCCAUGGUGUAGCUACUCUUGUUAACCUCAUCGGAAUCGAGUCACCGGGUUUAACUUCAAGUUUAGCUAUUGCAGAACACAUUGCAACCAGAUUCUUAUGAUGGAGAACCAAUCUUUAAUGUGUAUUGAAGAUUUCUGAUGUAGGACAUUGAAAUACUACCCUCUGUUUCAACAUAUGAAGAUCCUAACAUCUUUGUUGUAUCAUGUACUCUUACCUGUUGUGUAAAGAGCAAAUAAGAUUAGUGAGUGCAUAACAAGUAAAUUUGUACAUUUUCAUUCUAACUCGGAUGUCAGAUUUAUAAUGAGAAGAAUAUCUAUGUUAUAAA